AAACUCUAGAUCUGGUUUCUUCAAUUAGUAUCAGAGCCUAAGGUUGUUUAUUACAUGAUUAUUUAUACAUUGUUGGGUGUAAAAUAACCCCAGUCGAAGUUUGUAAAUGGCCGUCCCUUCCAGGGCUUUUCCAGCUUCCGACCUUAUGUGGCAUCUUUCUGAACUCCCUCGACCAUUCGAGCUUCCAUAAUGCCAUCCGGGCUUCUCCAUUCAUCUACCGGAUUUCUCCAAACACCCUCUGAACUCCGCUAUCAGUCAAUUUUCUACAGUGAUCGACUAUUCUCCAAAUUCCUUCCAGACUUCUUCCAGCCACGGAUGACUCUACUCCAAACUUCUUCCGAACUUCAUCAGUGUCCGACCUUCUCCGAUAAUGGGAUUUCUACAGUAACCAGACUCCAUCCAAGUUUCUACGAUGGUCGACCACCUUCCGAAUUCCAUCCGAGCUCCUACGAGAAUUGGAUUUUAGCCGAACUCCUACAGUGGAUGGAUCCCAGAUGAAUUUUGACAACGAAAGGGCUCCACCAGUCGGAUCUCAGAUCCAAACUUCUACUGCAAGCAGUCUACUCCGAACUUCUACUACGAGCAGUCUACUCUGGAUCUCUAAUGUAAGCAAAUUCCAUCCAAGCUUCUACUGCAACCUAAUUCCUUUCGAACUUCUAUUACAGGCGGACUUCAGCCGAGCUUCUUCAAUAAGCGGUCCCCAUCCAGACUUCUACAAGAACCGAACUCUGCCUAAACUUCCAUAGCGGAUGAAUUCUGGACGAACUUCUACAACAAAUGUGCUCCGACAGCUGGAUUCCUACAACGGCCGACUGCCUCUGAUGUCUGCUGUACCUCCCCAGCCAUCAACCUUCAAUAGUGUCAGUCAGAUUUCAAUAACGCCAAUCGGACUUCCACAAGAUCCUCCAAAUUCCUCCAGCGGACGAACCUCCCCAACGUCAUCCGAAGUCCACUAUCGGUCGACGCUCUGUCGGAUUACUCAUGAAAUCAGACUUCUCCA
rnacentral:lncRNA from 1 species